rnacentral:rRNA from 1 species
AACGAACGCUGGCGGCGUGCCUAACACAUGCAAGUCGAACGAGAAAGGGGCUUCGGCUCCGAGUAAAGUGGCGCACGGGUGAGUAACACGUGGGUAACCUGCCUCUAAGAUUGGGAUAACUCGUCGAAAGAUGAGCUAAUACCGAAUAAGACCACAGUUCCCGCGGGAACAGGGGUCAAAGGUAGCCUCUGCUUGCAAGCUAUCACUUAGAGAUGGGCCUGCGCACCAUUAGCUAGUUGGUAGGGUAACGGCCUACCAAGGCAAAGAUGGUUAGCUGGUCUGAGAGGAUGAUCAGCCACACGGGAACUGAGACACGGUCCAGACUCCUACGGGAGGCAGCAGUGGGGAAUAUUGCGCAAUGGGCGAAAGCUUGACGCAGCAACGCCGCGUGAGUGAUGAAGGCCUUCGGGUCGUAAAGCUCUGUCGGGAGGAACGAAUGCUCCUGAGGUUAACAGCCUCGGGAGGUGACGGUACCUUCAAAGGAAGCACCGGCUAACUCUGUG